ACUCAAAUGAAUUGACGGGGGCCCGCACAAGCGGCGGAGCAUGCGGAUUAAUUCGAUGCAACGCGAAGAACCUUACCUGGGUUUGACAUACACCGGAAAGCCGUAGAGAUACGGCCCCUUUUAGUCGGUGUACAGGUGGUGCAUGGCUGUCGUCAGCUCGUGUCGUGAGAUGUUGGGUUAAGUCCCGCAACGAGCGCAACCCUCGUCCUAUGUUGCCAGCAAUUCGGUUGGGGACUCAUAGGAGACUGCCGGGGUCAACUCGGAGGAAGGUGGGGAUGACGUCAAGUCAUCAUGCCCCUUAUGUCCAGGGCUUCACGCAUGCUAAAAUGGCCGGUACAAAGGGCUGCGAUCCCGCGAGGGUGAGCGAAUCCCAAAAAGCCGGUCUCAGUUCGGAUUGGGGUCUGCAACUCGACCCCAUGAAGUCGGAGUCGCUAGUAAUCGCAGAUCAGCAACGCUGCGGUGAAUACGUUCCCGGGCCUUGCACACACCGCCCGU
rnacentral:rRNA from 1 species